ACUGGGGCGUCCCAUAUACUUGCCAAAAUAGAUUAAUAUUUUAUCAAUUUAGUCUGAUUUUAUUAAAAAAAAAUCAGAUUAAAAAGGUAAAAAUCCUUAUGAGAUAAGGAUGUGCCUUUUUAAGUUAAUUGGAUUCUUGAUUUAGAUCAAGGAAGGGCCUAUAUAAAGAGAAGUCUUCUAGGGUUUUAGAAGUUAGUUCUUAUUGAUUA
rnacentral:lncRNA from 1 species